GAGGAUUUGACUAAAAUAGGAGAGGGAAUGGACCUGUCAGGGCUGUGUGUGUUUUCACGAGUGUUUAAUGGAAACAGCCAAGUCAAGGCAGAGGUCAAAAGGAUUGGACAUUUUUCCUUUUUAAUUGAGAGAGGGCAGCAGGAUGGAAAAGACAUCAGUCAAAACAGUGACACAGAUGGUAAAGGAGAGAGGGGGGGUGUCUGCUCGGUGAGACUGGACAGACUCAAAAGAAGGUUGAGAAACAGGUGAACGGGGUUGUGUGUUUAGUCCAGCGUGGAUCAUAAUAAUGGGCUAAAGUGAAAGAUGAGACACAAAGACAGAGACCGGCCAUGUCAAAUUAACUUCAAGUGUUUUUAAAGCUGAUCUGGAAUAAGACUUAAUACAAGCGUUUGGAUUCCACUUUCUGGUUCUCGUAAGACAAGACGUUUGUGUAGGGAUAAAAUGCUGCAAAAUAUUUCUUUAUUUGUUGACAAGCGAGUGAUCACAGCAGACCUGAGGCCAAACUUAAAGAGUUAAAGGGUUAGUUCACCCAAAAUAACGAUGAAGCGUUCGACUUAAAAGUCUUUCAGGCAAACACAUGCUAUACAUUUGUGUUCAUACAAUAAAGUCUGGAGUUAAUACACUCCUUGGAUCAGAUACAUGUUAAACCAGGUAAACAUGUUAAAAUGAUCAGCCUAUGGCGCGUAGCCCAAAUGUGGGAGGCUCGGUGAAAUAUUACUUGUAAUGUUUUACCAUAAAUGUAAAGUUUAAGGGUAAAUGUUAUGUACCGUAAAAGUAUUACAUUACAUAAGAUUUACUCUAAAACAGGAGUGCAGAGAUCAAAGUCAGGCCAGUGGCGUCCCCCAGCAUGUGUCACUGCAUAUAUAUAUUUUUUUUUAUAAAUAUGCAGUGACACUUUUUUAACUCAAAGUUUCUUAAUCUCUUAAUUUUUCUCUUUCUGUACCUGUAUUAUGCUGCUGUAAAUUUGGAAUUUCCUCCCCACUAUUAAAAAAUCAUCUUAUCUUAUCUUCUAUGCCAUUGUCAAUUGGCUGGUUUUGCCACCACUCAAGAGUCGUAACUAUUGACGAUGCUGACCUUGCAAUUUACUUCUGCCAGUUCAAAACUUUCAUAUUCUCAAUUAACUCCGUGCAACACAACAGUUUGUCACACUUUAAUGCGACCGGGCUAAAUUGCAUCAUUUCAAUCAAAGUAAAUCCAUUCAGAUUUAUAUACUUUCUAAUCAGAACUUUCCACCGAUGCACAGCUGAGGCUCGUUAAAGUGUCAAGUUGUAUUAAUAGUAGUUGAACCUAAACCAAAGUAUAAAACUGUGAAACUGAGCCAAUGAUGACAAGAGGAGGGAAAAGUGAUCAGUCAUCCUAAAGCUACUUGGAUAUAAAUUAUUUAACAGCUGUGAUGGUAAUCCAUAAGACUUUCAGCUUUGAAGUAAAAAAAUUACCUGCUGCUGGUGUUUGGGGGAAAAAGUCACAUGGUUACCAACGUCUGGAAUGUUUGCAUAAAUUUUAGGACAAUAAAGCCGAGAGUUAUUGAGAUAUUUAAGUCUCCAACAUCCAACAUUAUAGGCAUUCCCAGGAGUUAUGAAGCUAGCAUAGAAAAAUGUACGAUAGCAGCAUCUGUGUGUAUAGUCAAUGUCUAUUUCUGCACAGCUGAGGAGCUUUAAGUGGAAAAAUAACGAUAAUUGCGUUGACGAUUGUUCCCCAGAGGCUAAUAAAUAGCAUUUUUGGAAUUUCUAAUAAGGGUAUGUUUUCUUUAAAAAGGACCCACAGUCCUCUAAUUCAUUCUCGAUGACGAACUAUGUUAGUCUUUAUAGAACAACUUAAUGCAAGCCUGUGUUUUCUUUUUAUCAUUGGCUCUCUGUAAAAGGAGAAGAUAAAAUACAGUCCAGGCCACCAGCCAGCAUUGCACAGUAGUUGCGUAGUGAUGACAUACACCAUUAGCUCCGGUAAACACUGAAAUCUUUACUUUAUAGAUAACGGAGUCAGGCCCCCUACGCCCUCUUCACUUCCCACUUAUCCAGCCCUCUGUCCAUACUAUCUUUUCUUUAACUUCACACAGCAAUCCUUUCUGCCGCUGGCGUGGAGUCGCUCAGAGUUCAUAGGAAAUUAUUUUUAGCUGAAGGGGGUUACCGAAAAAGAAAGCUGAUGUGGGGGCAGUAAAAAAAGCUUUUUUACUAUGGUACAAAGAGAGACAGUAUUAAGAGCUCAUUCAAAGAGGGAUAGAUGGAUAUUUACAACUGUUAAUAUCAAGGACAGUGUGGGAAACCAUAAAAAAACUGUCCAUCAACUCAAGUUAAAAGCCUUGAGAAAGCAUUUUUGGAAAAAGCCACUCAUUGUCAGUGAUUGUUUCCCACGAUCACAUUACUUUCUGUAUCGCUUUUGAUUAUUCUCUGGUUUUCAGAUUUCUGUUUCCACACUUCUCUCUGCUCCACUCGCUGUGUAGGCCAAAGGAAGGAGAUGCCACCCACCUCAAUGUUUACCUCAAUGUAGAAUAAAGUUUUAGCAACAUUUGGAACAUAAUUGGAUGAAUUGUAAAGCCACCCAGAAUUGUCAUUUAAACAGUCUGCAGCUCUUUCCUCAUUGGUGGUUUUGCUUAUGAAAUAUCAGAAAACAGAGAAAGAUGCCCCAAACUUUCCCUAAACCCGAGGUGGCAUCUGAGAAUCCUGUUGUUUGUUAGAACCAUCAGGCCAAAACCAAAAUAGGUUUGUACAUUAAAGGGAUAUUCCGGAGUAAAAUUAAAGUCAAACACACUGUAACACCCAGUUAGACACCCCAUCAAGAGAUAAAUGCCACCGACUGCUUGCUUUUCUAGUUAUACCAACUCAUAAAUGUUCUUCCUUGAGCUGCGUCACCCCGCUGAAGCCGAUGGACUCGCCCGGAGGUCUACUUACAAACAGGUGGCUGCUGGAAGAGAGUGGGUGAGUUGUGUUUAGUCUCUUUGCAAAAGAAAUUAGGCAAAGUUAAAAAGAUGUUUGGUGGCUAGUGCUAUGGCUGGGACCCUAUAUGUACUGUUGUUGAAGUUGGGUGCUGUUCUGAGCUUUAUUUGUGGCUAUAGAGUGGCGUUUUGGUUGGGCGUGUGGCUCUCUGUAUUGUUAUCUGCGGUCGUUACUAAAGUUGGUAUAACUAGAGAAACAAGCGGUCAGCAAUAUUCAUCUCUCGAAAGGGUGUCCAACUCAACGUUACGGUAUAUUUACGCCGGAAUAUCCCUUUAAUCAAAUUGAUAGACAUUAAAGCUACAUAUAUAAACGGUUAUAUCUGAUUGUCCGGUCAUGAAUUUAUAAAAAGAGAAAUAUUUCAGUUUUGUUAAGUUUAUUCUACCAUAACACUACUGUACUGGAUGAAGUGGUUGCAAAUGACCAACUUUGUGAUCACUGUUCUCCUGGAAGUCCACUUUUUCCUGGAGGGAGGCAGGGUGAUGGUGACCCGGGGGGAAGGCAGAGCCGGGCAGGCUGGCCACAGGAAGAUAAACAGGCUGCUCUGUAUUGUUCUCCUGGUAUCACUGAGAAACUGUCAGCCGGACUGAUUGAAAGCUCAACCUUCCCCAAAAUAGUCCCUGUGAGGCCGAGCUGACUCUCCCUUCCACCCUGUUAUAAAUAACCCCUGUGUGUGUGUGUGUUUGUGUGGGUGGGUCGGUGUGUGUGUGUGUGUUUGGGCAUUUCGUGUGUGUGUGUUUUAGAGUAAGGGCAAGAAAGACAGCGUGUGUUUGCAGAGAGAGAGAGAGAGGGGAGAGAGAGUAAUGUGAUCAGUGCCAAUGCAGCCUUAGAAAGUGAAGCCACCGAAAACAAUAACAGGAGGUCUGCGGGGCUUAGAGCCAAACAGUGACAGAGACACUGCGGUCAAGACCCUCUGCUGACCUCUUCUCGAAUAUCCACACACACACACACAGACACACACACACUGAUUUGGACUUCUCAAUAAUUGCAGUAAUAGUACACUCCUCUCACUCUAGUAUCCAGGCUGCUUGAGUCCAGCUCUUAAGUGCAUGCACCCAUGCUUUUGUGUGUUUAAGUCAAUAACGUUUGGACAGGGGCUUGUAAAUUACCACCUGAGGGAAUAUCACCGGAUCAUUCGUUCCACAGGUGUGCUGGGGUAAAUGUUUUUCAUGCAAAUAUACGGCAGUAGGUCACCAGUUGAACCAACAUUAAAGCGCAUAUCUCUGCAGGUGGGUGGAGAUUCCUGUGCUUGUUUGCGGCUCUCGGCAACAAUUAAACACAACAAUCUUUCCUUUUUAAAUGCAGAAUGAAGCUGUCAGAAAGUUUCAACCAAACUUCAACCCCAAAAACCUCAGCCCACCCGUGCUGCCUGGCCUCGCUCAGCUCUCAUUCCCAGCCGCCAACUCCCCUCUCUUCUCCUCUUUCCUAUUUCCCCUCACUCUACUGGGUGCACUAACUCCACUCAGCUCAGCCCAAACUCCCAGUUUAUACAAAGAGUUUUUGGGCAUGUUGCUUUUUGUUUGAUCUGGCUGCUCUUUAGACGCGUCAGAAAGUCUCCACUUUGAAUCCACGUGUCCAAUGCUUCACCUCUGAUUCAGACAGGCUCUUGCGCUCAACUUGAGAUGAAUUUAAAAGUGAUAGAUGUUCCUGCAUGCUGAGCUGGUGGCUGUGCUGUGUGAAGUCCCACUCACAAAGACUCAUAGAUCAGUCAAAACUCUGCACAGUAGUGUACAGUCUCUGCUUGGCCUCAGUCUGCUCCCAAGUAUGUCUGCUAUGCUCUGCACUCUGCUGACCUGAUUUUCUAUCCUGCUCUCAUCAGGAGCAGGAUACCUCGAGAGAAGAGGGAGCAGAUCGAGGCCACAGAGAGAGAAACUUUCUCCAAUCAACAGCUUCGGUGUGACAGCGGUUUAUUGUUCUAACCAACCUGUUGAAUCGCUCUCGGGAGGGAGAAGUUUAUGGGUUCAGGAGGAGGUCAGAGGUCAUGUUUACUCUUUGACCACUUUAGUAAUCGAGGAGAAUAAACCAAACCCCUCUGUAAAUUUACAAACAUUUGCAUUUGCUGCUCACUGUAAAUUCUUUAUGGUGAGUAGAGUGAAGAAAAAGAAGGCUUAGGGAGGCAAGCAUCAGUUUUGAAUUUACUUGCAUGACUUUGUGCCAACCCAUGUGGACGACGCCCAUGCUCUGACAUCCCAUACUGCUGCUGCUCGAGUUGUUCAAAUCACACAGGGUGCAAAAGAAGCAAGGCAGACUCAGGAAAUCAUUGCAAUCGAACAGAAAACACAAGGGAAGGAUAUUUAUCCAGACUGAGAAUUUGAGGCUACUAGUGCCAGCAGCAAGACUUGAUUUAUUGUGCCAAAUUCAAAAGAUGUGGUAUUUUAUGAAACAAUUAUUAAGAAACCACUUUUGAAUUCUGAUAAACCAUCUUAUAAAGAGUUGUUAUUGAAGAUUCUUGCAGAAUCUAUUGAUGAAAUAUGCUGUUGUAAUAAUUGAAGCCAUGUGUAAACCAUCUUAGGCGAGAAAGAGUUCAAUCAAUUUCAGCCCUGCAUGGUCCUCUGUAGUGUUUAUAUCCAGUGCAUGUUUAAAACCCAGUGACUCCCUUUUCUCUUCUUCAUACUCUGUGUGGAAACUAGUGAAGCCUUAGGGAGUAAGAGGAGGAGAAGCUGACCUCAGGCUUUGACCUCAGGUUGUUUUCUGGAUUCCUGCUUCUGGUGCGUAGUGUAACUUAAACCUGAGUGGAGGAAAGAGAGAUGGACCGGUCAGUUCAUACGAGGCGAAAGGAUGAGAGGUAGUCAGCCAAAUUAUGAGGCUUUGUUGGAUGUGUUGUGGUGGAUUAUGAAGAAUGUUUCAGAUCUGUUAGGGUGCAGGUAGUUUCAGGGAUGUAGUUGCAAAAUGUUUCAACAGUGAUUUUAUAUUUGUGCAUGCAUUUGCCCCUUGCAGGGAGGGAAACAUGCAUCACUACUUUUCCUUAAUGCCCACUUUAUUAUCAUUUUCUAAGGUUUUAUAACUUCAUCUCUUGUUCUUCAAGAGUGUUCACUUAAGGGUAUUUUCUUUACACAGCACUCACACUUCAGAUAGUAUUCAGGGAGGAUUGUUUCUACAGAGGUUGGAUUACAACCCAAGCAUGGCAGUCUGCUGCCCCACAGUCCUGAAUGCAGAGGGGCCCAGUUCACCCCAGGUUUACCUUGUCUCAUUUGUUAUUCACUAAUUUGAUUAAAUGCAAAUUAGUUGGGGCCUCUCUUUAAGUCCUGCAUUAUUAUCCUGUCUUGUGUCUCCGCUGUGAGGGGAUGUGGGCCCCUUCACAUGACAGCGGUUUAGGAACUUAAAGAGCAUUUCUAGCGUGGGUCUGCCAAAGUGUAACAAUCUAGACAGGAAUUUCAUUUACAUAGACGGAUGUAAAGAAAGUUAUUGUUUUGUCUCAGCAUAGAUAUAAAAUAUCCACAGUUUAAGAUGUUUAAGUGACAUUUCACCAGUUUUGUAAACUUGUAAUUCAGCUCAGGUUUCAUUCUGUCAUGAAAUCAGGUGUUUUAUAUUUCUGGGUUUACAAAAUGUUUUUUUUUAAAGAUACAGCUACUAAUGCCGCUGAGGUUUUGGCCCCUUAAUUUUAACAGAACGUUUGUGUUAGAAAGUACAAACUUGGAACUUAAGACUGAUUUAUACGUGUUUGAGAGGUCAAGAUGAUAGAAAGAGUCAAAGUGUAGGAAAAAAUGCCAGCUACAUUUCUGAAGGUCAACUUACCCCAUACACGGGGUAAGUUGACCAUAGGAGACCACUUUUUUUUUGCAUGCUAUAUUAUCAAGACAGUUCUGUUUACACUCAUUCUGUUGGUUUGCAGGGAUGAACAACAUCUUGAAAUAUAUGCAGAUACACUAGUUAGAGACAAAACUAUGAUUUACUUGAUCACAGCCUCUCAAUGCCCACAGAGUUAAAGUCUAAUAUCAUGUCUGUGCCCCACAUACAGCUCUGCAGUCUAAAAGUAACACAAACGUUACAGGUGGGUGUCAGGUCUGUCAUCACUGACUGAGAUCUCCAUGACUGAACAGGACAGGAAUUCAUAUCAGCAGUUAAAUGAGAGGCGGGCUGUGAUUAAGCACAGUACUGUAUAACCAAUCGACCAUAAACAUACCAAGGUACUUAUUACCCAGCUGCAUUGCUCUUCUCUGUCUUUUGUUGUACAGUGUCUGCCAUGCCAAACCAUACCACACAGGCCUGUCUACACAAACAUAAACCUUAUUGUUUGUUGUUGUUGCUUUGUGUACAUUUUUGGCCCAGUGGCUCGUCUGAAUGGGCAACAAUUGCUCUUUGUCAGAAUAAUUGGAACAAGGUUAUUUCAGCAGUUUUGUUAGCCAAUUAAGGUCCAACCAAGCCGCCCUCGUCCUCUCCCUCUCAUGUCCUGGUCUCGCCAGUGACGACUGUAACCCCUCAUUAGAAAGCUCCGCCCAUUUUCCCUCUUAUCUCCCAGAUUCACCCGAUUUGAACCCUCUUCUUUUUGCUCUUAUCCCCCCCCUGUAAUGAUCCUCCCACCUGAAGAGCAUCAGUGUGUUUACGGGUUCACAGAACUUUAAACUGAAGUGCUUUUAGAGAGGAGGUAUUUCUCAGCCACGUCCAGACCACACUGUAAAGAUGUCAGCCGUUUUCAGAGCACACACGCCCUGCUUUGAUCUGGACCCUGGCAGAGGAUUGGUGGAAUGGAGCAAAUAUUGACUCCAUCUGAGCCAGACAAAUCGCUCCCCCUUCCUGCGUUCCUUCUCUUUCAGUCUCCUUUACACUUGCUCAGUUCUCGUCUAAUCUGCCAUUACCUCUUUCUCCCACAUUCCCUUUCAUCCCCUUUCUGCUGCGGCCUUUCUUUUUGCUCCCUUUGUGUCCCCGUCUGUCAGUCCUCCCUGCCCUCCCCUCUCUACUACUCUGUCUGUGUAGCUGGAACAGUUGAGUACGUUCCCCUAGCUUCACUGCAUGGAUUUCUACAUCUCAAUGUGUAGCCAGUUUGGAUUUCAUGCUGUCCGAAUCGAUGUGUUUCGCCUUUAUCUGCUGUAUAAAUUGAACUACAUGCUUCAGCCUUAAGCCUGCAUGAGGGAGUUUUCAAACAUGCACAGGCAAAAUGUGAAGAUGUUAAUAAGAGACAUGCGCUGACAUACUUUAUGAAAUGUUCACAUACUGUAUGUUACGGCCAACUGCCACAAAUAUGAAACCUGAAUCGGUGUCUGUUUACAGAAAAAGACUAAAGGGAUCUAGAUUAUAUGUAUCUGAAUUUUGUAGGUGUUCCCACCAGCUCUGAAGUAGAACUGGAGUUUCCCCAAAAAGACCAAAGCUUAAGUUAAACCUCUGCAAAGAUACUUGGCAAUGUUUCUGUGAAACUACUCAGAGAGGAGAGUUAUAGGCGACCAGAAGUUCAUCUUGAGCGUCUGAAACAUCAGGGAAGCACAUUUGUUAAUCCUAUUCCUGUUGGCAGGUUUUGAAGUAGAGAAGAAAAACCCAUAAUGUUACAUAAGUUACUUGCACAAAAACAAGCUCAGAGCCCACCAAAUAUCAUCAUCACAGCCUCACAGAAAGAUGGCCGACUCUUUGGAGCUUCUGGUGUAACAAUUUUGAUGGUAAUGUAAGACUUGAUUUUCUGAAUGUUACCUUUGUUGAAGCCUGAUAUUUGUAAGGCCUGAAAGGAGUUUGGAGACCAAAUUGUUAGCUGAACUUUUGUGCAAACUUGUGCUUAAAAGCAUUAAGUUAAAGAUCAUCACUGUGAGCUGAGGUGUUCAAGGACGGUAUUGUACUGUGGUUUGCUCCUUGCUCUCUACAUAGACUCCCCUCCUC